rnacentral:misc_RNA from 1 species
GUGAAUCAUCAAAUUUUUGAACGCAAAUUGCACUCUCUUCGGAGAGUAUGCCUGUUUGAGGGUCAGCCUAAAAAAAAAUCGACAUAGUCGCUGUUUCUCGGUUACAUUCGUCGGCAAUUGGGUCAUCUUAAACCUUUUUGGUUUAAGCGGCUUAAAAUUUUCUUUACGAUUCCUCGAACGUUUCUAAGAUUUUCUUCUUAUACUUUUAAUGUAUCGAUCUUUAUUUGACUUUGCUCUUGCAUCGGAUCUCUACCAUAAAUA